AACGAGUGUAAGCCAAUCAGAAGCCUGCGUUUCUAUACGAACGCCACUACCAAGAAAACCUAUCAUCCGUGCAGGCCCUCUAUUCUUCGCGCCGCCCGCAACCCAGGGCCUGUUCGCAGGCUAUGUUUUUCUAAGUGACGGUUAAUAAGGAAGUUCUGUACUGUAUCAUUAUCCGAUAUUUGCAAUCUUCGUUCGGCUUCUUCAGCCCGGGAUUUGUUGAGAGCAGCAACUUUCCUUGCAUCAUCGGUUCGCUGUUUUGUCAGCUGAAGCUCAGCGGUCAGCUUUUGGAGCUCUAGCUCCUUUACUCGCUGUUCGUUUUCCAUAUUCAAUGUAUUUUCUUCUUUUUUACUUUCGUGGUCGGCGAGAUGAACAUUUUGAAUACUGUUUACAGCUUCAACACCUUGGUCUGUCUCUUUUCCCGGCAAGUCUUGUUGUUGUUCACUCGUACUAAGCGCCAUAUUUGCUUGCACAUUCACAACAAAAGUCGCGAAUUUCUCGUUCUUUUGUCAGCAGAUCUGGCUGUCGAAGGACCAAACUUGUUCCCGAUUAAUUGAACUGUCUAUAAAAUGUCUACACAAGAUAAUUCACCACUUUAUUCCGAGUCUUUAAACACAAAAAUAGCCUAAAUAUUGUCACACUUCUUGUAGUCGAAAAAUAUAAACUAGAGCGUUC